rnacentral:lncRNA from 1 species
CAAUGUUAGGGACUAGAUUGAUUUCCGAGCCCCAUAACUGAGCUGAUUGUCUGCUGGCGGGUCUCCUCUGAGUGCUGGGCCGGCAGCAGCCCCAUGGUGAGAACAGGGAUGUGCAGGGACUGUAUCCUGUGUGGCAGCUCUGUAGGAAGGGGCUGAGUCCUGCCCUCUCAUGCCAUGGCUGGGUGAUGGAAGCAGUGCUGUCACCACCCCGUGCUGCCAGAGAGAAUCCAGCAGAGCCAGAUGUUCACUGUUCCAGCAGCAGCUGGUGAAGAGAGCAGCAAAUGAUGGGGAAAUUGCAACUUAUUAUCUUUAAUCUCUUCCUCGUUUUCUCCAUGCUUGCUUUCCAUCUUGUCCCCAUGGAGUUUGCAUCUCCUCGCACUGACGAAUGAUGUGAUGCUGUGGUGCCAGAGCUGUGUUCCCACACUAAUGCCUCAGGUCUUGGGGUCCCAUAGGUGUUCCAGCUGGGGUGGGAAGUACCGUGGUCAUGUUAGUACAGGAGUGGGGUGGGAGCUGGGACUCAUUCUUUGUAGAGAAGUUCUGUGAUGGAGAGGGCUGGCCAUGGGUGACAGCACAGUGACAGCCUGGCAACAGCAUCACAGGAGGAGCCAUGGGGCUGGCAGCUCAGCUAGGGUGAUGGGAGCCUCCCAAAAUGUGGACUGAGACUUUCUGCACGAUGGGAAGCACCAUCACAUCCCCAAAGGCAGCUGCAUGGUGUGGCUUGCUGGAGAUCUAGGGACAGCAAGAGGACCCCAGAGCAGCGAUGAGCACUGGUCCCUGUAUGGCAUGUGGGGCACUGCCUUCCUCCCUGCUCCUCCUCCUCCUCCUCGGCCCCACUGGAACCUCUGAGUCCGUCCCACCGCCGUUCCCAGGUGAGGUUCUUCCCUCUGAGUUGCUCUUCUCCAGGUUUUGCUGUUGAAAAAUGCAUCAGAGAGGCAGCGUG